UAGGGAAUCUUCGGCAAUGGACGAAAGUCUGACCGAGCAACGCCGCGUGAGUGAAGAAGGUUUUCGGAUCGUAAAACUCUGUUGUUAGAGAAGAACAAGGACGUUAGUAACUGAACGUCCCCUGACGGUAUCUAACCAGAAAGCCACGGCUAACUACGUGCCAGCAGCCGCGGUAAUACGUAGGUGGCAAGCGUUGUCCGGAUUUAUUGGGCGUAAAGCGAGCGCAGGCGGUUUCUUAAGUCUGAUGUGAAAGCCCCCGGCACAACCGAGGAGGGUCAUUGGAAGCUGGGAGACUUGAGUGCAGAAGAGGAGGGUAGAAUUCCAUGUGUAGCGGUGAAAGGCGUAGAUAUAUGGAGGAACACCAGUGGCGAAGGCGGCUCUCUGGUCUGUAACUGACGCUGAGGCUCGAAAGCGUGGGGAGCAAACAGG
rnacentral:rRNA from 1 species